ACCAAACAAACCCCAGUCCAGCCCAGAGGAUGGCCAAGUAGCCACAGUAUCAUCCAGCCCAGAGACCAAGAAAGACCACCCUAAAACAGGAGCCAAAACCGACUGUGCACUCCAUCGGAUCCAGAACCUGGCACCAAGUGAUGAGGAAUCCAGCUGGACAACGCUGUCCCAAGACAGCGCCUCCCCCAGCUCCCCAGAUGAAACAGGUACCCCUGGGAACAGGACAAGCCCGCCUGGUCCUUUUCCAUUGGUGUUUUUAACUGGAGGCGGAGAAAGUCUCUCCUGGUUGAAAUAGUUGUCUCUAGCUAGAGGAACAUAACCGUGGAGUCAGGCAGUGUACGGACACAAUCAUUAGGCUUCUCAAGCACACUGUGGGUUUACUUCAUUUCAGGUCAUCUGUAAGUUGUUCUGGUACACAUUUUCAUAAAAGCAAUAGCCAUUGGUUGUAAGUAAAUUGUCAUCCCCAAUGUAGACAUUUGACUGCCAGUGCUUGGGAGAAUUGGUUUUGGGUGUUCUAACUAGACGCAUCAACUUUUGUUAAAUGCAAUAAUAAAAGAAAAAAAAA
rnacentral:lncRNA from 1 species